rnacentral:rRNA from 1 species
AUUGAACGCUGGCGGCAUGCCUUACACAUGCAAGUCGAACGGCAGCACGGGAGCAAUCCUGGUGGCGAGUGGCGAACGGGUGAGUAAUAUAUCGGAACGUGCCCAGUCGUGGGGGAUAACGUAGCGAAAGCUACGCUAAUACCGCAUACGAUCUACGGAUGAAAGCGGGGGAUCGCAAGACCUCGCGCGAUUGGAGCGGCCGAUAUCAGAUUAGCUAGUUGGUGGGGUAAAAGCUCACCAAGGCGACGAUCUGUAGCUGGUCUGAGAGGACGACCAGCCACACUGGAACUGAGACACGGUCCAGACUCCUACGGGAGGCAGCAGUGGGGAAUUUUGGACAAUGGGCGAAAGCCUGAUCCAGCAAUGCCGCGUGCAGGACGAAGGCCUCGGUUGUAACUAGCUUUGUACGGUAACGAAAGGUUUUUAC